GAUCCGGUAGCUCAGUUGGUAGAGCACGUGACUUUUAAUCAUGUGGCCGCGGGUUCGAGUCCCGCCCGGAUCACCA
rnacentral:tRNA from 1 species